rnacentral:rRNA from 1 species
AGCUCCAAUAGCGUAUAUUAAAGUUGCUGCAGUUAAAAAGCUCGUAGUUGCAUUUCCGAGGCAAGGGAUUAGUCCGACCUUUGGUGGGUAUUUAAUCCUCUUGCCUCGUCCUUGAGUGGUGCUUCUUGGUAUUAAGUUAUCGAGGAGAUAGCCGCUCAUCGUUUACUGUGAGAAAAUUAGAGUGUUCAAAGCAGGCUUAUGCCGUUGAAUAUAUUAGCAUGGAAUAAUAAGAUAGGACCUCGGUACUAUUGUGUUGGUUUGAGAACCAAGGUAAUGAUGAAUAGGGACAGUUGGGGGUAUUCGUAUUCAGUUGUCAGAGGUGAAAGUCUUAGAUUUACGGAAGACGAACUACUGCGAAAGCAUUUACCAAGGAUGUUUUCA